CAUAGGGAAGAUUAACCAAAGGAAAGGGGACGGCAAGCCAGCCUGUGUCGCAGCGGCUGGUGACCUGGAUUCCUGCCCCUCUUCUGGACCGAGUGGCUGUGCCAGUGUGGGCAUGGGGCCCAAGGCUGCCGGCCUCCCAGGCAUUCACAUUCCACUCCCAGGAGCCCACAGCCUCUAGUGCUGCAGAGCUCCUGCCAGCCUGAUUGGAGCAGCUUAUGACAUGACAGUGGCCAGAAUGACACAGACCUCAGUCCCAUAACCGUCCCUCCAGCUCCCAUUUUCCGAGAGCCUGCUAGGUCCUACACAGAGUCCGGGGGGCGCAUUUCGCAUAUAGCAGCUCUAAUCAUCAC
rnacentral:lncRNA from 1 species